UCGCAGAUUCAAAUUUGAAGAAUUGAGAAUAGAGGAAAUUCAAGAUCAUGAGAUCCUUGUAAGUGACUUUCGAGAGGAUCUUCAUCGGAGGCUCUUAAGUGCUGACUUCAAAGAUCAAGUUGAUGGCAUUGAGAUAUUACAGAAGGUUCUUUCAACAUAAAUUCUAGUUUCUAUUCUGUACCUUGACAUUUUCUUUUAACCUUCGAUUAGUUUUUUUUAUUGGCAAUGUAGUCAUUUGUAGCAGUUGUAAAUCUUACAUGUAGUUUUGAGAGGCAAAUGCUCAUAUUUUUCUCUGAUGUUGGUUGUGUUAUAAUUAGUAAGCUUUUGGUUAUUUCUUAUAUGAUAGUUUUUACUUGAUUUGGUCGAUCUGUCUCGUCAAGCAUUAUGUCCGAAAGCAGCCCUAAAGACAGCUAAACCGAUUGGUCAUGGCGACCUCGAAUCUCGGCAUGGAAGCAGAAAUGGACCAUUCUUCAGUUUUUUUUUGGUUAAUAUCUUUAUUUUGAACCAUAAAUUAUUUGUUAAUUGAUGUCCUAUUUAUUCAGAGAGGUGUACCUAACAAGGGAUCCAGGCAAGAAUCCAUCAUGUCUGUUCAAGACAUCAACAUUCAGUCACAUGUUUUGAUCAGCCUGAAAGAUUCAAAAAAGGAUGACAGGGAAAGGAUUAUUGUUCGCAGAUUCAAAUUUGAAGAAUU